rnacentral:rRNA from 1 species
GACGAACGCUGGCGGCGUGCCUAAUACAUGCAAGUUGAGCGCUGAAGGUUGGUACUUGUACCGACUGGAUGUGCAGCGAACGGGUGUGUAACGCGUGGGGCAUCUGCCUUUGAGCGGGGGACAACAUUUGGAAACGAAUGCUAAUACCGCAUAAAAACUUUAAACACAAGUUUUAAGUUUGAAAGAUGCAAUUGCAUCACUCAAAGAUGAUCCCGCGUUGUAUUAGCUAGUUGGUGAGGUAAGGCUCACCUAGGCGAUGAUACCUAGCCGACCUGAGAGGGUGGGCGGCCAGAUUGGGAGGGAGACACGGCCCAAACUCCUACGGGAGGCAGCAGUAGGGAAUCUUCGGCAAGGGACGAAAGUCUGACCGAGAAACGCGGCGUGAGUGAGGAGGAUCGUCGGAUCGUAAAACUCUGUUGGUAGAGAAGAACGUUGGUGAGAGUGGAAAGCACAUCAAGUGACGGUAACUACCCAGAAAGGGACGGCUAACUACGUG